AAAGCUUGUGAACAAAUUCUACAGAUGUGAGCAUACUAGAUCCUGAUUAAAGCUUCAAUAUUUGAAAAAUAAAACGUCCCUAUAGACAAACAUCUUUGGAUAAUACAAACACAAAAUAGAUACUUACUAAGUAGUAAGCCCAUAAAGUUAUUAAAAUAAAGUUUUAUUGAAUGUCUUUAAUAAUUUGUUAGAUAUAAUUUCUCAUGUCACUUAGACACUUGCUGACUGCCGAUUGAAUAGAAAAAAAAUGAUUAUAAAGACAUAACUGAUCCCAUCUUUAAUCAGUGAAAUGAAUAUUUUAAUUUUAGCUUCAUGAACACUCACAGAGACCUGAAUAUAUUCUCUGGUGUCCAUUUCCUCCAGUGAGAAGAUGGGAGAUGUGGAAACUUACAGUAUGCGACAGAUUAAUAACAUCGACUUUAAAUUAAUUGAAGACCUGCUGAAAUGAAGUAAACACCUGGCAAUUUCAUUGGGAAGGGAAGCUCAGUGAAUGCACACUGCUUAGGAACUAGAGCUCAUUCCAUUUCAGUCUUCCCAGACGUUUUUCAAAGGGGAAUAGAGCUUGCUUUAGAAGUGAUAGACAUAAUAAAGUGCUGGAUAUUCACUGAUAAUUGUCCUAUAUUAGGUUUAGAGAAAAAAAAACUGUCUCAGCAUUUUAAAAUAAUGUUUACAUACAAGUACAUAAUUUCCCUACAAUCAUGUUAGUAAAGUCAUUGCACAAGAAAAUAUGAAACAGAGGCUGGAGAGAUGGCUCAGCUCUUAAGAGCACUGACUGCUCUUCCGAAAGACCAGAGUCCAAAUCCCAGCAACCACAUGGUGGCUCACAACCAUCCGUAAUGAGAUCUGAUGCCUUCUUCUGGAGUGUCUGAAGACAGCUACAGUGUGCUUACAGAUAAUAAAUAAAUAAAAAUCUUUUUAAAAAAGAAAAUAUGAAACAUCAAAAUUUUAUUUAAAAUUUCCAAGCCAUACCUUAUUGAAAGUGAAAACGAGACUUGGAUUUUGGUAAUAAUAUCCACAUUGAAAAUCAUUGCUAAUUUUGAUAAUGUUUUGAGCAACUUAUUGAGACAAUAUAAAAUGUCGGGUCCUGAGAAGGUUGUAUAUUAUCCAAGGUAAGUUCCCACAUAAGAAAAAGAGGACAUUGUGGCUGUCUACAUUUUCUGAAGCAAUUUUCCUGUGGCCACAUGCCAAAAAGCGUACUUACUGCUCACAUAACUGAAGUUAAAAACUUUAGCAGAUGCCACACGUUGAUGAUAAUUACACCUUACACGUUUUCAAAUUCUUUUCACACAACAUAAAUUUCCCCUCAGAACAAAUACCUGCAAAUAGAAGAAUCAAGUUCAGACUUAAUACUCUCAUUAACCAUGAUGGCAACUUGUCCAAAUUCCAUAUUAAAGGAUGUUAUUAACUCUCCACUCACUGGGAAUUUUAUUACACACUGCAUUGUACUGGCGAUGCAUUCAACGAUAAUGUUAAGUCACUUGGAAUCCUAGGAGAGACUGUAAAAGUUGAAAUGAGAGUUACUUCAAGACAAGACUAUCUCAAAAGAAAGUUGACCCUUUAUAUUAAGUAAGACUUUGAGUCCUCCAAAUACCAGAUAUUAGAGUGCUAAGUAUUAAAAGUACACCUUCCCCUACCUAAUUCAUGAAACCAAUAUCUCGGCUGAAACUGGCUCACUAUCUUAGCAACUAUGAGUUCUUGAGCAAAAAGUAGCCAUCAUCAGGCAUAUGAUUUGAUACAGAAAAAAAAAGUAAUUAAACUUGUUAAGAGCUCUCUCCUGCUUAAGUGAGUUUAACAUUAUGAACCUAAGAUAUUACUAUUUUUGUAGACUCUAAUUAGAAAAUUGAACAUAAUGAAGGGUUUGUGAAAGGCAUACAAAAUUGAAACUGAAGGACACAAUUGCAGUUUCUCUCUGGUCCCAACUGACUCAUUUAAGCACUACACUGAAGUUAAAGAAAUUAAAGUUCCAUGUACAAAGAGUCUACUACUCUAUAAUCGAAAUGUACCAGAUAUUUUAUAUGACCACCUAGAAAGGAAAAGUAGCAAUUAUUUUAAAAAUGUGUAGAGGGGAGAUGAAUGUCCAAUAUGAUCUAAGAUAUUAUUAACUAUGGAUACUUAAAAUAAUUAGACUUUUAAUAUGUUUUCAUUCUCAUUACAUUGAAAUAUUACCAAUAGUAAACUCAGAAUAUAUCCCUUCUAUUGCCUUGCAAGAAAUAAAUUGAAUGUGGUGAUUAAUGUUCAAAACUCAAUAUUUUUCAAGUGGUAAGAAGAACUCUAUGAAUAAAUAAAAUGUAAAUGAAGAUGCAGUUAAUAGAAAAAUAGAAGGAAGUGAAUCAUACUCAGAACUAUGAAGCCCAUCUUAAUUGGUCCGUCUUACUGCUCCUUCUCGUGUGUAGUUAGCAGUGGUCAUUUCAAUCAAUUUUGGAAGUCAAUGAUUUAAUAAGAGGAGAGAAUAAGACAUCACGUUAACCAGAUAUCUUAAUCAGCACUUUGAAAUUAUUUUAAUGGUAUGGAUUUUGAUGUAGUGACCAAGUGUUCUCAUUACUGAAAAUAUUGUUCUAAAAUGUUUGAACAUUUCAAAUAUAAAUUGAGUAAAUGAACAUGGAAGACUGAGCAGUCUCCAGAAAAACCUAAUAACAGUUAGUGAUCUAGAACAGGGGGAGGAGGAAGCAUUAUUUCAGAAGUACUGAUCCAUAGUCACAGCCAUCGCUGAGUGUCCUGCAAGCGCUAUUUGAAUAUUACUAAGUGCUAAAUCGAGAAAGAGAAAGGGAAAGGGAGAGAGAGGGGGAGAAUCUGGGUGUAUGUUAUGUAGAUUCACGUUUUCUACACUGCAGGUCUAAGAGGAAAGAAGUGAUGGAAUGUUUUUGACAAAAUUUCUUAGUGAUUUAGAAAUCAGUAUAAAUUUUAGCGGUAUUUUUCUUAAUUCAACAGAAAUGUAUUUUUUAAUAUCUAGGGCUUAAUUAAUGUAUCAUUACAAAGAUUUUUUCUUAUUCUGUUAAUAAAAAUUGCUUCUAAGAUAUCUUAGAGAUACCUACCAAAUGUAUUACCAUAUUCAGAAUAAAAAAAAAAAAAGGAGGAAAGCCAUAGCAUACUAAUGAAUGUGGAAAUUUACUCAUUUUUAUUUUUCUUGCUGUCAAUUUUCUUUUACUCCACUGUCUGAAAAUGUUGUAAACACUCAUUACAGAAAAUUAUAUGCAUGUGUAGAAUAUGAAAUUUGGGCUAGGCCUAUUGAAAGAAACAGCAGCUGAAAAUGGUUCUACAACAAGAACCCAGCAAAGAUGAAGAAGGCAUUAUCUACUCAGAAUACACUCAACUAGAAACCCCAUUUGAUUUUUUUCAUAAGAAAAGUAACACUUACUUUAAUAGCAUGGAACUAAAAUGCAUGUGACAUUUUUAUACAUUAAACAGUAAAACUGAAUAUUAUACUUUCACAAUUUAGCUAUAAAUUAGAUGGUCUAAAGUGUGCAUAUUCUUUUUAGGUUGGUUUUUUAUAAAGGUCUAUACCAAACUACAAAAUGGAACUUGAAAAGUUUAUUUUAGUAUGUCUUGACUAGUUUUUUUUUAAAUAUCAAAAAAUAAUCUUAGCAAGUAUGAAUGCUUUAUUUUUGUUUUUCUUACUAAAGAGAUGGAUAAAGUGUGACAUCCAUAAGCUUGAGUCUUGCCCUUGUUUGAUAAUCCUUGAACCUCAGCCUUCUCCUAUAACUUAUACUUCUGUCCCAUUACCCAGGACCCCUGAACCUUAACCUUUCUCCUAUUACUCCUGUCCCCACAGCUCUUGCAUUUAACCCUUCCCCCAUGACCUUGAGCUGCACCCUUUUGCAUGACUUUUGAACUUUGCCCCUACCCAAUGUCUCCUGAACCUCAGCCUUCCUCCAUGACCCCAAAAAUCUCACCCUCUCCCAAGACACCUAAACCUCUGUCCCAUGCCUGCUGGACCUCAGCCCUCUACCAUGACAACCAAAGCUUAUGCAUACUAGACACUGAGGCUAAAGCAAUGAAACCGAAGGAAUAAAUGUUAUGUUGUUUUAUCACCUCAAAACUUAUAACAAGACAUGAUUCUCUUUGUUCAUUGAAUUUGUUUCUAAUUAAAUACAUUCAUGUCAAGUUCCACUAUUUUGCAGUUAAUGUAUCCUGGCUCUCAGGAUAAGGAAGGUAAUAAUGAAAACUAUGGACACAUUUCUUUUGCCUCCUUUUUUUUUGAAAUAACAAUUUCAUUUUUUAUUGACCUUGACAAUUUAAAAACAAAGAAUUCAUUGUGUAUAUUUAGAAUGCGAUCAAUUUAAAAUGUACAACCCUUCUGUAAACUCAAGAACAUUGUAUCCUUCAAUAACCGUUUGCCUUCUAUUUUUAAUAGGCAAAAAAUUAAAUCAUUCAAAGUGAGUCCUUGUAUUUUACCUACAUUUCUGACAGUGUUUGUGCUGAAUACUUACAAUUAAGAACAAACCUAUGAAUGUCACUUAGUUUUUAAUGUUUGAAUACUUCACAUAAUUCAUUAACAAUUGUGGUCAUAUCUGAGUUAUAAUGUAUCAAAAAUUUAACCUAUCUGAUACCUAUCCAGAUUAGCAUCUCUCAGAAAUCAGUCCAAAUGUAAGAAGGUAAGUUAAGAUGUGCUGUUUAUGUAGUAAAAUUGAAUGGAUCAGACCUACUUUUCAAGUAAUAAAUACUCACCAUGAGAAUAAUAAAAAUGUAAGUGGAUAUGUAAUAUAUGUUCCUUGUAGGUUGGUGAAAUAAAAUAAGAUACAAUGAGAA
rnacentral:lncRNA from 1 species